AGAACAGAGCUGCCCCUCGUCUCUCAGCCCAGCUCUCCUGUUUUCUCAGCACCUCAGCGGGACAAGAAGGACAGAGCCUGCCAGAACCAAGUUGACCAUCCCUACUUAGCAGAGACCAGACCUGCCCCUCGUCUCCCAGCCCUGCACCUGGUGUGUUUUCUCAACACCUCAGUGGAACAAGAAAGGACUGAGCCUGCCAGAACCAAGCUCCCCUCUCCUGCCUUGCCUACCGUGGGUUCAACGAAUGGCGUUCAAUGAACAGAGAUACAGCGAAACUGUUGGCACUGUGAGCAGGAUCAGCAGACAGGAG
ensembl:lncRNA